rnacentral:tRNA from 1 species
CAAAAAGUAGCUUAAUCAAAGCAUCUCGUUUACACCGAGAAAAUGUCCGUGAAACCCGGACCAUUUUGA